GCAGCCGCGGUAAUACGUAGGUGGCGAGCGUUAUCCGGAAUUAUUGGGUGUAAAGGGUGCGUAGGCGGGAUGUAAAGUCAGAUGUGAAAUGCCGUGGCUUAACCACGGAGCUGCAUUUGAAACUUACAUUCUUGAGUGGAGUAGAGGUAAGCGGAAUUCCGAGUGUAGCGGUGAAAUGCGUAGAUAUUCGGAGGAACACCGGUGGCGAAGGCGGCUUACUGGGCUUUUACUGACGCUGAAGCACGAAAGUGUGGGGAGCAAACAGGAUUAGAUACCCC
rnacentral:rRNA from 1 species